rnacentral:rRNA from 1 species
GACGAACGCUGGCGGCGUGCUUAACACAUGCAAGUCGAACGGCAAGGCCCUGCUUUUGUUGGGUGCUCGAGUGGCGAACGGGUGAGUAACACGUGAGUAACCUGCCCUUGACUUUGGGAUAACUUCAGGAAACUGGUGCUAAUACCGGAUAGGAGCUCCUGCUGCAUGGUGGGGGUUGGAACGUUUCGGCGGUUGGGGAUGGACUCGCGGCUUAUCAGCUUGUUGGUGGGGUAGUGGCUUACCAAGGCUUUGACGGGUAGCCGGCCUGAGAGGGUGACCGGCCACAUUGGGACUGAGGGACGGCCCAGUCUCCUACGGGAGGCAACGGUGGGGAAUAUUACACAAUGGGCGGAAGCGUGAGACAGCAGCGCCGCGUGCGGGAUGACGGCCUUCGGGUUGUGAACCGCUUUCGCCUGUGACGAAGCGUGAAUGACGGUAAUGGAUAAAGAAGCACCGGCUAACUACGUG